UACGUAGGGCGCAAGCGUUGUCCGGAAUUAUUGGGCGUAAAGAGCUCGUAGGCGGCCUGUUACGUCUGCUGUGAAAUCCCGGGGCUUAACCCCGGGCGUGCAGUGGAUACGGGCAGGCUGGAGGCAGGCAGGGGAGAACGGAAUUCCCGGUGUAGCGGUGAAAUGCGCAGAUAUCGGGAGGAACACCGGUGGCGAAGGCGGGUCUCUGGGCCGAAACUGACGCUGAGGAGCGAAAGCGUGGGGAGCGAACAGG
rnacentral:rRNA from 1 species